CUUUUACAGAUAUUUGGAUUUUAUUUUGGCAGACAGUUUAGCUACUUUUAGACCAACUUGAUUCUUUUGAGGUUUGUUUUUAGCACAGGUCUGCAGUAGCCUCAGUCUAGCCCUAAUACUUCUGGGGUCUUUUCUGAAUGCCCUGCUUGUUCUGAGAUUUCUACACCACAAUUGAAAGUGAAUUCAAAAAAGCUGGAGAGGAGACGCAUCAGGUCAGAAGGGAUUUGCUGCUCUGAACUGCCAGUUACACUGCACAAAAGUUUAGAGCUCCGCCAAUCACAUAUUCCAGACUGUUUUUGCCAGAUGACUUCCUACUGGGUUCUGCUAAUUUCUGUCAUUGGAAGAAGACUGGAAGGUGGUUUCCUGAGAAGCUAAGGGAAGAGAAGACUUAGACAUUACUAGAACCCAUUCCUCAAGACACUGUAUUCAGACAGAGGACUGGGGAAGUGUUAGAGGAAGAUUACGACACUGCUACUCCAUGCCAAAACGUUACACUACGGCUCUGCAGACUGAAGAUUGCCUCACAAGCAGAAAUAUACUCUUUCCAACAAACACUGGUGGAAUGAAAAGGACAUUGGAUUCCUGCUUCCAGUUACUGCUUGCCCUUCCCUGACUUUGUGACCUGAGAUUUUACUUUCUACUCUUGUCAGUCAUAUCUGCAAGGCUGACAGUUACCAGGGGCUGUGGCCAGGCAUGAGGGAGAAUGUGUCAUUGCUGGCUGCGUUGGUCAUAGCAACGUGUCUGCCUCAGAACAGAUCCAGCAUGGAUGAGCAAACAGAAAAAUGUGUAAGAAGGCUUGUGACUGAAACAGACCAAGGGUGAGAGAACCUUUGUGGGAGCGCAGAAGUCCAGCAGAGAGACCCUAGCACUUUAUUUGGACCAAAAAAUAAAUAAUAAAUAAAUAAAUAAAUAAAUCCAAAACUAGAUGCAUUAAAGAAGGUUAGACUUCUCCUAUGGAGAAUGCAGCAAGAAAAUACCAUCUUGAAGCAGAGAGCAGCGCUCAUCAGGCAUCAGUCCUUCUGGAGCCUUGAUCUUGGACCUCCCAGCUCCAAAAUAAUAAGUAAUAAAUUGUUAUUGCUUAUAAAUU
rnacentral:lncRNA from 1 species